rnacentral:rRNA from 1 species
CGUCGACUACACGGAGACGUUCAGUCCUGUGGUGAACUCCUCCCUUGCUCAUCUUCCCCGGAUCCACAUGUUCAUGAUGAACAUCGUGAAAAUGCGCAAGAAACUACAAAGUUUGAGUUUAAUAGGGUUGAUUUCUCUCCAAGGAUGAAGGACAUUGUAGAGAAACUGCAGCUUAUGCGUGGUGAGGUUACCAAGCUUCUGCAUGGUUGUGACCCUAGAAUUGUCCCAAACAUUGCUCAGAGUCGUCCCGUUACCAAAGGUCGGAUUGAUGAGCCAAAACUAUACGGGAGGGACCCUAUCAUCAAUAGAAUCAUACAUGACAUCACCAGUGGUCAGUACCGUCACAAGGGUCUAACUGUGAUUCCGGUUGUCAGUCCGGCGGGAAUGGGGAAGACUACACUGAUACAACACAUUUAUCGCAGCCCACAAGUGCAGGAUCAUUUUCCCGUCAUGAUUUGGAUAUGUGUGUCACUCGGUUUCAAUCUGGAUAAGGUGCUAGAGCAGAUUAAAACAUGCACCCCUGCAGUUGAAAAGGAAAAAAUUGGCAGUACAACUGAAGAUUUGAUUGAGCAAAGAUUAAGAUCUAAAAAGUUCUUACUUGUAUUGGAUGAUAUAUGGAAGAUUAGUAAUGGAGAUGACUGGGGAAAAUUAUUGUCGACACUCAAUAAAUCAGAGGAAAAGGGUUCCAUGAUUCUCGUCACAACUCGAUUUCAAGCAAUAGCACAGAAGGUUGAAACAACGGGCCACUCAAUAAAGCUCAAUGGUUUAGAAUAUGAAGAGUUUAGAAAGUUAUUCCUUGCAUUUGUCUUUGGUGAUGAGCAAUAUCCAAGGGAGAAACAGUUUUUGCUUGAGACUGCAGAUAAGAUAAUGGAAAAACUAAAGGGCUCCCCUCUUGCAGCAAAAACAGUUGGUAGAUUACUAAGUAAAGAUCUUAGUUUGGGUCAUUGGAAAAGGGUCCUAAAAAGUGAAGGAUGGGAGAAGCAGAGUCAUGACAAUGAAAUUAUGCCUGCCUUGAAGCUUAGCUAUGACUUUCUCCCUUUUCAUCUACGACAAUGUUUUUCCUAUUCUGGAUUGUUUCCUGAAGAUUACAAUUUCAGAAGUGACGAGCUGAUCAUUCUAUGGAUCGGACUAUAUAUUGUGAUACCCAAUGGCCAAAACCAAACAUUUGAAAACAUAGGUCUGAGCAAUUUAAAUGAGUUAGUCACCCAUGGAUUUUUCAGAGAAGAAAGUAGUUUGUAUGAUCUGCGUUAUGUUAUGCAUGACCUACUGCAUGAUUUGGCAUUGAAAAUUGCAUCUCAUGAUUGUCUUAGUUUAAGUCUCCCUAGUGUUGGAUCAGUAGAGAUUCAGCCAACCACCAGUCACUUGUCUAUGAGCACAUAUGGUUUAGGUAAAUAUGAUGCAGUGUCUGGUAAAAAAUUGAAGAGUGAAUUGGAAGAACUUAAGACAAGAUUUAAGGUCGAACAUUUGCAAACAUGGAUGUUAUUUGGAAAAAUGGAUGAAGGUUUUGUCAAGAUAUUUGGUGAUUUUUUUGGGGAAGCAAUCACUCUUCGUGUUCUUCAUUUGCCCAUCAUGCUUUGUCCCGUGGAGUCUAUGUUACAUAACUUUCCAGGAUUGGUCCACCUACGAUACCUAUGUCUAGGGACAAGUAAGAGCCAGAUGCAUUUACCACCGAACAUCUCUAAAUUUUAUCAUUUAAGGGUUCUAGAUCUUGAAUUGUGGAAUGGCAGUCGUGAUUUUCCCAAAGACAUGAGCAACCUUGCCAAAUUGUGCCAUUUUUAUGUCCCAAGUGAUGAUCAACUUCAUUCUGAGAUUUAUAAUGUGGGUAAACUUAAACUCUUAGAAGAGUUAAAGGUAUUUCAAGUCAAUAAAAAUAGUGAAGGGUUUGAACCAAAGCAACUAAAGCACUUGACCAAGCUAAGGGAGCUCGAAUCCUUGACAGCAACAUGA